UAGGGGAGGAGGGAGGACCCCAAAGUAGCAGCCUCCGGGUAGCAGCCUCAGGCAGCCCAGCCCAGGCAGACAGAGCAGCUGGGGCUGCACAGUAGAGGACCUGGAAGGCAGGACAGCAGCUGGAAACUCAGCCCAGCCAUGGGGCCCCACGGGAAACAGUCCGUGCUGCGAAUGCCCCUGUUGUUGCUGCUGACUUGUGUCCAGUCUGGGACGGGUCUGGAGAGCAUUAACUAUGCCCCCCAGCUCCACAACGCCACCCUGGAGGGGAGACUCACACAAUCUACCUUCACACUGGAGCAACCCCUGGGCCAAUUCGAGAACGUCAACCUCUCUGACCCAGACCCCAUCUGGCUGGUGGUGGCUCACAGUAACGCCGCCCAGAACUUUACUGCCCCACGGAAGGUAGAAGACAGGCAUGCCCCUGCCAACUUCGACCGCAAUGGCUACUACCUCACGCUGAGGGCCAACCGGGUACACUACAAGGGUGGCCAGCCUGACAGCCAGCUCCGAGUCCUCCGUGUUGGGAAUGACAACAACUGCUCCCUGGAGUCCCAGGGCUGUAACUCGCCUUUGCCAGGGGCCGGCCCCUACAGAGUGAAAUUCCUGGCGAUGAGUGCUGAGGGACCCGUGGCUGAGACACGGUGGUCCGAGGAGAUCUACCUGCACCAAGCCCAGACAUUCCGAGAAGCUCCAGGGUCCCAGGGCAAGGGCACUGUGGUCAUCAUUGCCUUCUUGUCAAUCCUACUGGCCAUCCUGCUUGUGGUCUUCCUCGUACUGGUCAUAUCCGCUUGAGCUUCAAACCAUUGCACAAGGGAUAUGGAAACUGAGCGGGCUGAACUGUGUUCAUGAAAGAGGUCUCAGUUAUUCUCUAAGCGCCCCACAUCAGCGGCUUGAGCACUUCCGGGUCCAGCCCAGAGGAGCAAGUGCNCAUGCGGCAUUAUCACACGCACCAUGUGGGCAGCCUCCGAGCAGAGCGCAGCUCCUGAGAGGUUCCCAGGGCUUUCAUCAGGGACCCAGUUGCUGAGCCUGAGCUGGGGAUUACCUGGAAGCUUCUAGGACCCUCGGGAAAUGUUUUCAGUUCAAAGCUUGGACUAGGCAAUCUUUAUCAGAAAUAAAUGCCCCGAAUUCCUUUGUGCUUCAUCUUACAUA